GAUGAACGCUAGCGGCAGGCCUAACACAUGCAAGUCGAGGGAGAAGCCCUUUCGGGGGCAGAAACCGGCGCACGGGUGCGUAACGCGUAUGCAACCUACCUUUCACAGAGGGAUAGCCCGAAGAAAUUUGGAUUAAUACCCCAUAAUAUUAUUGGAUGGCAUCAUUUGAUAAUUAAAACUGCGGUGGUGAAAGAUGGGCAUGCGUCCUAUUAGCUAGUUGGAGUGGUAACGGCACCCCAAGGCUACGAUAGGUAGGGGUCCUGAGAGGGAGAUCCCCCACACUGGUACUGAGACAGGGACCAGACUCCUACGGGAGGCAGCAGUGAGGAAUAUUGGUCAAUGGUCGGAAGACUGAACCAGCCAUGCCGCGUGCAGGAAGAAUGCCUUAUGGGUUGUAAACUGCUUUUAUAUGGGAAGAAUAAGGCGUACGUGUACGUUGAUGACGGUACCAUAUGAAUAAGCAUCGGCUAACUCCGUG
rnacentral:rRNA from 1 species